AGCGAACGCUGGCGGCAGGCUUAACACAUGCAAGUCGAACGCAUCCUUCGGGAUGAGUGGCAGACGGGUGAGUAACACGUGGGAACGUACCCUUCGGUUCGGAAUAACUCUGGGAAACUAGAGCUAAUACCGGAUACGCCCUUUUGGGGAAAGGUUUACUGCCGAAGGAUCGGCCCGCGUCUGAUUAGCUAGUUGGUGGGGUAACGGCCUACCAAGGCGACGAUCAGUAGCUGGUCUGAGAGGAUGAUCAGCCACACUGGGACUGAGACACGGCCCAGACUCCUACGGGAGGCAGCAGUGGGGAAUAUUGGACAAUGGGCGCAAGCCUGAUCCAGCCAUGCCGCGUGAGUGAUGAAGGCCUUAGGGUUGUAAAGCUCUUUUGUCCGGGACGAUAAUGACGGUACCGGAAGAAUAAGCCCCGGCUAACUUCGUGCCAGCCGCCGCGGUAA
rnacentral:rRNA from 1 species